AACGUAGGUGGCAAGCGUUAUCCGGAUUUACUGGGCGUAAAGCGUGCGCAGGCGGUUCGCCAAGUCAGGUGUGAAAUCCCCGGGCUUAACCUGGGAAUUGCGCUUGAAACUAGCGGGCUUGAGUGUGGCAGAGGGGGGUGGAAUUCCACGUGUAGCAGUGAAAUGCGUAGAUAUCGGGAGGAACACCAGUGGCGAAGGCGACUACCUGGCCUGUUCUUGACGCUGAGGCGCGAAAGCUAGGGGAGCAAACGGG
rnacentral:rRNA from 1 species